CCUACGGGUGGCUGCAGUCGAGAAUCAUUCACAAUGGGGGAAACCCUGAUGGUGCGACGCCGCGUGGGGGAAUGAAGGUCUUCGGAUUGUAAACCCCUGUCAUGUGGGAGCAAAUUAAAAAGAUAGUACCACAAGAGGAAGUGACGGCUAACUCUGUGCCAGCAGCCGCGGUAAUACAGAGGUCUCAAGCGGUGUUCGGAAUCACUGGGCGUAAAGCGUGCGUAGGCUGUUUCGUAAAUCGUGUGUGAAAGGCGCGGGCUAAACCCGCGGACGGCACAUGGUACUGCGAGACUAGAGUAAUGGAGGGGGAACGGGAAUUCUGGGUGGAGCAGGGAAAUGCGAAG
rnacentral:rRNA from 1 species